GACGAACGCUGGCGGCGUGCUUAACACAUGCAAGUCGAACGGUAAGGCCCUUCGGGGUACACGAGUGGCGAACGGGUGAGUAACACGUGGGUGAUCUGCCCUGCACUUCGGGAUAAGCCUGGGAAACUGGGUCUAAUACCGGAUAGGACCACUGCCUGCAUGGGUGGUGGUGGAAAGCUUUUGCGGUGUGGGAUGGGCCCGGGGGCUAUCGGUUUGGUGGUGGGGUGGUGGCCGACCAAGGCGACGACGGGUAGCCGGCCUGAGGGGGUGACCGGCCACACUGGGACUGAGAUACGGCCCAGACUCCUACGGGAGGCAGCAGUGGGGAAUAUUGCACAAUGGGCGCAAGCCUGAUGCAGCGACGCCGCGUGAGGGAUGACGGCCUUCGGGUUGUAAACCUCUUUCAGCACCGACGAAGCGCAAGUGACGGUAGGCGCAGAAGAAGGACCGGCCAACUACGUGCCAGCAGCCGCCGUAA
rnacentral:rRNA from 1 species